GACCAGCUGGCUCAGUCGGGGGAGCGUGUGACUGAUAAUCUCAGGGCUGUAGGUUCAAGCCCCAUGUUGGGCA
rnacentral:tRNA from 1 species